rnacentral:rRNA from 1 species
UACGAAGGGGGCUAGCGUUGUUCGGAUUUACUGGGCGUAAAGCGCACGUAGGCGGAUCGUUAAGUCGGGGGUGAAAUCCUGGAGCUCAACUCCAGGACUGCCUUCGAUACUGGCGAUCUUGAGUCCGGAAGAGGUGAGUGGAACUCCUAGUGUAGAGGUGGAAUUCGUAGAUAUUAGGAAGAACACCAGUGGCGAAGGCGGCUCACUGGUCCGGUACUGACGCUGAGGUGCGAAAGCGUGGGGAGCAAACAGG